AACGAACGCUGGCGGCAUGCCUAACACAUGCAAGUCGAACGAGACCUUCGGGCCUAGUGGCGCACGGGUGCGUAACGCGUGGGAACCUGCCCUUAGGUUCGGAAUCACUCCCCGAAAGGGGUGCUAAUACCGGAUAAUGUCUUCCGACCAAAGAUUUAUCGCCUUUGGAUGGGCCCGCGUUGGAUUAGCUAGUUGGUAGGGUAAUAGCCUACCAAGGCGACGAUCCAUAGCUGGUCUGAGAGGAUGAUCAGCAACACUGGGACUGGGACACGGCCCAGACUCCGACAGGAGGCAGCAGUGGGGAAUAUUGGACGAUGGGCGAAAGCCGGAUCCAGCAAUGCCGCGUGAGGGAUGAAGGCCUGAGGGUUGUAAAGCUCUUUUACCCGGGAUGAGAAUGACAGUACCGUGAGAAUAAGCACCGGCUAACUCCG
rnacentral:rRNA from 1 species